rnacentral:rRNA from 1 species
AUUGAACGCUGGCGGCAUGCUUUACACAUGCAAGUCGAACGGUAACAAGCCGCAAGGUGCUGACGAGUGGCGAACGGGUGAGUAAUGCAUCGGAACGUGCCCAGUCGUGGGGGAUAACGCAGCGAAAGCUGCGCUAAUACCGCAUACGAUCUAUGGAUGAAAGCGGGGGACCGUAAGGCCUCGCGCGAUUGGAGCGGCCGAUGUCAGAUUAGGUAGUUGGUGGGGUAAAGGCUCACCAAGCCAACGAUCUGUAGCUGGUCUGAGAGGACGACCAGCCACACUGGGACUGAGACACGGCCCAGACUCCUACGGGAGGCAGCAGCGGGGAAUUUUGGACAAUGGGCGCAAGCCUGAUCCAGCAAUGCCGCGUGCAGGAAGAAGGCCUUCGGGUUGUAAACUGCUUUUGUACGGAACGAAACGGCUCUGGUUAAUACCUGGGGCUAAUGACGGUACCGUAAGAAUAAGCACCGGCUAACUACGUGCCAGCCGCCGCAGUAAAAC